rnacentral:piRNA from 1 species
UCNCGGAAAGUAAGGCACUUACUUGGCUGU